CCGGCACGGGUGAGUAACACGUAUCCAACCUGCCGUCUACUCUUGGCCAGCCUUCUGAAGGAGGAUUAAUCCAGGAUGGCAUCAUGAGUUCACAUGUCCGCAUGAUUAAAGGUAUUUUCCGGUAGACGAUGGGGAUGCGUUCCAUUAGAUAGUAGGCGGGGUAACGGCCCACCUAGUCAACGAUGGAUAGGGGUUCUGAGAGGAAGGUCCCCCACAUUGGAACUGAGACACGGUCCAA
rnacentral:rRNA from 1 species